AAUGCAGUGCCCGAACAGGGCGUUGUAAUUGGAAUGAGAACAAUUUAAAUCCCUUAUCGAUUAACAAUUAGAGGGCAAGUCUGGUGCCAGCAGCCGCGGUAAUUCCAGCUCUAAUAGCGUAUAUUAAAGUUGUUGCAGUUAAAAAGCUCGUAGUUGGAUUUCGGCGUGCGCUCAGGCUGGUCGGCCGUCAAGGUCUGUACCGUUUGGGUCACGCCCCACUGUAGGAUACUCACCGCUGUCCUUAACUGGGUGGCGGUCAAAGGGGGUGUGCAUGGGGGCAACUCUGUGCAUAUCUCUGGGGUUCCUACUCUUUUACUUUGAGCAAAUUAGAGUGUUCAAAGCAGGCAAUCGAGCCUUGAAUACUUCAGCAUGGGAUAAUGGAACAGGACUGGGGUCCUGAUUUCGUUGGUUUCUGGGAUCUCAGUAAUGAUUAAUAGGGAUAGUUGGGGGCAUUAGUAUUUAAUUGUCAGAGGUGAAAUUCUUGGAUUUAUGAAAGACUAACUUCUGCGAAAGCACUUGCCAAGGAUGUUUUCAUUAAUCAAGAACGAAAGUUAGGGGAUCGAAGACGAUCAGAUACCGUCGUAGUCUUAACCAUAAACGAUGCCGACCAGCGAUUGGGAGACGUUACAUGGAUGACUCCCCCAGCAGCUUGCGAGAAAUCACAAGUCUUUGGGUUCCGGGGGGGUAUGGUCGCAAGGCUGAAACUUAAAGGAAUUGACGGAAGGGCACCACCAGGAGUGGAGCCUGCGGCUUAAUUUGACCCAACACGGGGAAACUUACCAGGUCCAGACAUAGUAAGGAUUGACAGAUUUGAGAGCUCUUUCUUGAUUCUAUGUGGUGGUGCAUGGCCGUUCUUAGUUGGUGGAGUGAUUUGUCUGGUUAAUUCCGUUAACGAACGAGACCUUAACCUGCUAAAUAUGUCACUGGUAGACUUCUGCCAAAACAAGUGGGUGUCUAGGGGAAAGUUUCGAUGGACUCCGACGCAUUCAUCUGUGGAUGACUACCAGGAUGUACUUCUUAGAGGGACUAUCUGUAUCAAAGCAGAUGGAAGUUUGAGGCAAUAACAGGUCUGUGAUGCCCUUAGAUGUUCUGGGCCGCACGCGCGCUACACUGACAAGUUCAACGAGUUUAACACCUUGCUCGAUAGGGCUGGGUAAUCUUUGAAAAACUUGUCGUGAUGGGGAUAGAUCAUUGUAAUUAUUGGUCUUCAACGAGGAAUUCCUAGUAAGCGUGAGUCAUCAGCUCGCGUUGAUUACGUCCCUGCCCUUUGUACACACCGCCCGUCGCUCCUACCGAUUGAAUGAUCCGGUGAAAUGUUGGGAGCUGGGGUCUUUUGGCGGCGGGGCAACUCGUCGUCAGGGAUUCUGCAAACUUCAUUAAACCUUAUCAUUUAGA
rnacentral:rRNA from 1 species